UACGGAGGGUGCAAGCGUUAUCCGGAUUCACUGGGUUUAAAGGGUGCGUAGGUGGGCAAGUAAGUCAGUGGUGAAAUCUCCGGGCUUAACCCGGAAACUGCCAUUGAUACUAUUUGUCUUGAAUACUGUGGAGGUCAGCGGAAUAUGUCAUGUAGCGGUGAAAUGCUUAGAUAUGACAUAGAACACCAAUUGCGAAGGCAGCUGGCUACACAUAUAUUGACACUGAGGCACGAAAGCGUGGGGAUCAAACAGG
rnacentral:rRNA from 1 species